UUUUAUUUACCAGCCCAAAGCUAACUGACCAGAAAAUAUGAGUCACUAGUAAAGUUAAAUAUUGCAUUUGAUAGAAUCUAUGAGUUGAAGUUUUUAAGAAAAAUGUAAUGUCAUUGAAAGUUAUAAAAUAAGUAUUGAUAUAGUCGGUGGAUGGUUACAAUUUGCAAUUUUGCAUAGACCUUGCUUUUUCAAAUGUUUUUAUUCUAUCUUGUAAUUUAUUUGAAAAUCAUUAAAAAUCUAUAUUUAUAACAUAAUGUUAAUGAAAGAAUCCCGAUAUGCAUUUAACCAACAACAUAUGUAUUAGGGUUUAUAAUAAAGUUUACAAGCAUGUUGUAAAUCAUAAUGUCUCAUAAAAUACAUUUUUCACCUUUGUCUAGAGGGAAGUACUACAGGUUAUUGUACAAGAGGUCAAUAAAACCGACUUGAAUAAGGCAAUGCAUGGAGAAGUGUUUGAAGCUUUUUGCCAGAUACUGGAGUCUUUGCUUCCUGACAAAAAUCUUCUUCUCAAGAACCAAUUAACCAGAAAAGCUGUUACUUGCUGGGAAUCAUCCUCAGACCUCUGGAAUCAAAGCUCUGACGUCACCUACUGCAACGGACUUCAUUUUAUCUGUGAGAGGACGUUUCGCCCAAAAGUCACCCUCCUCUUUACUAUACUGUGCCUGAAAG